rnacentral:rRNA from 1 species
ACGGAAGGCAGCAGUAGGGAAUCUUCCGCAAUGGACGAAAGUCUGACGGAGCAACGCCGCGUGAGCGAUGAAGGCCUUCGGGUCGUAAAGCUCUGUUGUUAGGGAAGAACAAGUAUCGGAGUAACUGCCGGUACCUUGACGGUACCUAACCAGAAAGCCACGGCUAACUACGUGCCAGCAGCCGCGGUAAUACGUAGGUGGCAAGCGUUGUCCGGAAUUAUUGGGCGUAAAGCGCGCGCAGGCGGUCCUUUAAGUCUGAUGUGAAAGCCCACGGCUCAACCGUGGAGGGUCAUUGGAAACUGGGGGACUUGAGUACAGAAGAGGAAAGCGGAAUUCCACGUGUAGCGGUGAAAUGCGUAGAGAUGUGGAGGAACACCAGUGGCGAAGGCGGCUUUCUGGUCUGUAACUGACGCUGAGGCGCGAAAGCGUGGGGAGCAAACAGGAUUAGAUACCCUGGUA